rnacentral:rRNA from 1 species
AACGCGAAGAACCUUACCUGGGCUUGAACCGCUACGGACCAAGGGUAGAAAUAUCCUCUUCCCGCAAGGGACCGUAGUAGAGGUGCUGCAUGGCUGUCGUCAGCUCGUGCCGUGAGGUGUUGGGUUAAGUCCCGCAACGAGCGCAACCCUUACUCAUAGUUGCUACCCGCAAGGGAGAACUCUAUGAGGACUGCUCCGGAUAACGGAGAGGAAGGUGGGGAUGACGUCAAGUCAGCACGGCCUUUAUGUCCAGGGCUACACACGUGUUACAAUGCAUGGUACAGACUGUUGCGAACCCGCGAGGGGGAGCUAAUCGGCCAAAGCCAUGCUCAGUUCGGAUUGCAGUCUGCAACUCGACUGCAUGAAGCUGGAAUCGCUAGUAAUGGCGUAUCAGAUCGACGCCGUGAAUACGUUCCCGGGCCUUGUA